rnacentral:lncRNA from 1 species
AAGAGAUAUAAAUUAAUUGUACACAGGAGUCUGCUGCCUACAAAGCUGCUAUAAAGCUUUGGUGAUGAAUAGCUGACUUCGAAUGUCCUGCUACACACCUUUCCCAAACAAUUGAUAUGCAGCAGGUGAAUGCGAAAAGCUUAUCAGUCCAACCCGGUGUUAUUUCCUGUCAUAACUUUGCACAACAAAGGAAGUUUCUGUCCUUGUUGAACUUUGGUGUUGCGAUAUGUAUUGCAGUUCCUUUGGAGAAACCACUUUAAUCCUUGGGAAGCCAAAAUCACAGAGACGGAGGCAGGAAUAUUGCUGCUACUAACUGCAAUUUUAUCAGCAUCCAGCUGUAUCAAAGAGCUCAGGUGCGACAUGGGAGGGAGCUGCAGGUGAUGGAGGGAUGCUUGCCCCAACUUCUACUUGAGCAGAAUAAAAAGAAAGCUCAGGCCACAUUUCCAGCACUACAUUUCAGUAUGCCAGUGCUAUAAAACAGGAAACAAAAAGGAAGAAUUGCAUUUACAUUUAAACUUAAUUUGAUUAUAGCCACUUUUAGCAUAUUGUAGGGACAGAUCUUGUGAAUGGUGCUGAGAUUUUUUAGGGUGGUUUUUUUUUUUUUUUUUUUUUUUUUUUUUUUUGAGGAGGGAAGAAUGAUGCCUUGGCAUGAUGCCAUCAGCCAUUUGCUGUCUUUGGAAAUUGCUGUGGCUUCGCAGGGUGGGUAGUUGCCCCCACGCAUGUUUGUCAUUGACACAGCAGGGAGGAAUGAAGUCAACCAUCUUAAGAGUCCUUGAGCUCUGCUACUUUGGCAUGAGUGUCCAAUGCAGAAAGAGACUUGGACUUCAUGUGCUUUCAUGUCAAUGGACAUGCUCUUCCUGACCUUGCAUCAGGCCCAGCACCGCCAUCCAGUGGUAGAAGAGUUUGAAUAUGCCACAUCCACACUGAAGACAACAGAGAACUGUUUGUCCAAGAGAAGGUUUGGAGCAUCUAGCCAUGAGACAAGGAAUCUUCUGGCUGGAGCUUUUCACAAUCCAUGGGAUUAUUUUUUAUAUAAAAGGUACAGUACAAAUCACACCUCAGCAUCAGUACUUCUUCCAUCUGCCUCUGGCAGAUUGGUGAUGGCUUAG